rnacentral:lncRNA from 1 species
CUAAAAUUGUUUGUGUACUAAAAAAAAAGAAACAUAAAUCGAGUCUCAGCUGUAACUGCUGAGGACUCUCCAGACCUUGUGGUUCACAUACAUUUCACAGCUCUACUGAAAUUCACAGGUAAAUAAAAACAUACUGCCAAACUCUAGGGAGCACAGAGACUACAAAAUACUACUACACAACCAGAUUUAAAAAUAUCUACGGCAGCUAACACUAUAGAUGGCUGAGGAAGGGAGCUGCAAGAAACAGAAUGAGAGAGAACCAGCGAAGGAGCCAGACGCCUUCUGUGAUGCAGGAGGGGCAGGGACCCAGAGGCCCCGAGCCUCCGAAAAGACACACAGGAAGAAGGAACGGCCCAAGGACAGAUUGCCCAGGUAUUUCUCAGGAUUGCAUGGCUAGAAAGCCAACCUGCUCACUGAGGAGAAGGAGGAGGCGCUGCCGGCCAGCUGAGUACAGGAAGGCACCCUGCGGGCUGAGGAAAGGAGACGGGGGGCCAACUCCGGAGGCCAGGGCCUAAGGGGCUGGAAGUCCCUCCCGGUGAAGAGCAGAGCCCCCAAACGCUGACGGUGUGAGCCUUCGAAAGGGUAAGCCACGGCAUGGCCGGUGUGGCCGAAUCAACCCCAGGCUCGAACCAGGAAUUCAACUUUCCCUGCUGGCUCUCUGUGUGACGU